UACGAAGGGGGCUAGCGUUGCUCGGAAUCACUGGGCGUAAAGCGCAUGUAGGUGGCUUUUCAAGUCAACUGUGAAAGCCCAGGGCCUAACCCUGGAAGUGCAGUUGAUACUGUUGAGCUUGAGUACGAGAGAGGAUAGUGGAAUUCCUGGUGUAGUGGUGAAAUACGUAGAUAUCAGGAGGAACAUCGGUGGCGAAGGCGGCUAUCUGGCUCGAUACUGACACUGAGAUGCGAAAGCGUGGGGAUCAAACAGG
rnacentral:rRNA from 1 species